CCUUGAUUCAGCGGCGGACGGGUGAGUAAUGCCUAGGAAUCUGCCUGGUAGUGGGGGACAACGUUUCGAAAGGAACGCUAAUACCGCAUACGUCCUACGGGAGAAAGCAGGGGACCUUCGGGCCUUGCGCUAUCAGAUGAGCCUAGGUCGGAUUAGCUAGUUGGUGGGGUAAUGGCUCACCAAGGCGACGAUCCGUAACUGGUCUGAGAGGAUGAUCAGUCACACUGGAACUGAGACACGGUCCAGACUCCUACGGGAGGCAGCAGUGGGGAAUAUUGGACAAUGGGCGAAAGCCUGAUCCAGCCAUGCCGCGUGUGUGAAGAAGGUCUUCGGAUUGUAAAGCACUUUAAGUUGGGAGGAAGGGCAGUAAGUUAAUACCUUGCUGUUUUGACGUUACCGACAGAAUAAGCACCGGCUAACUCUGUGCCAGCAGCCGCGGUAAUACAGAGGGUGCAAGCGUUAAUCGGAAUUACUGGGCGUAAAGCGCGCGUAGGUGGUUUGUUAAGUUGGAUGUGAAAGCCCCGGGCUCAACCUGGGAACUGCAUCCAAAACUGGCAAGCUAGAGUACGGUAGAGGGUGGUGGAAUUUCCUGUGUAGCGGUGAAAUGCGUAGAUAUAGGAAGGAACA
rnacentral:rRNA from 1 species